GACGAACGCUGGCGGCGUGCUUAACACAUGCAAGUCGAACGGAAAGGCCCUGCUUGCAGGGUACUCGAGUGGCGAACGGGUGAGUAACACGUGGGUGAUCUGCCCUGCACUUCGGGAUAAGCCUGGGAAACUGGGUCUAAUACCGGAUAGGAGCCAUUUUUAGUGUGAUGGUUGGAAAGUUUUUUCGGUGUAGGAUGAGCUCGCGGCCUAUCAGCUUGUUGGUGGGGUAAUGGCCUACCAAGGCGGCGACGGGUAGCCGGCCUGAGAGGGUGGACGGCCACAUUGGGACUGAGAUACGGCCCAGACUCCUACGGGAGGCAGUAGUGGGGAAUAUUGCACAAUGGGCGCAAGCCUGAUGCAGCGACGCCGCGUGGGGGAUGACGGCCUUCGGGUUGUAAGCUCCUUUCGCUAGGGACGAAGCAUUUUGUGACGGUACCUAGAUAAGAAGCACCGGCUAACUACGUG
rnacentral:rRNA from 1 species